rnacentral:rRNA from 1 species
UACGGAGGGGGCUAGCGUUGUUCGGAAUUACUGGGCGUAAAGCGCACGUAGGCGGCUUUGUAAGUUAGAGGUGAAAGCCCGGGGCUCAACUCCGGAAUUGCCUUUAAAACUGCAUCGCUAGAAUUGUGGAGAGGUGAGUGGAAUUCCGAGUGUAGAGGUGAAAUUCGUAGAUACUCGGAAGAACACCAGUGGCGAAGGCGACUCACUGGACACAUAUUGACGCUGAGGUGCGAAAGCGUGGGGAGCAAACAGG